rnacentral:rRNA from 1 species
CGGAGGGUGCAAGCGUUAUCCGGAUUUAUUGGGUUUAAAGGGUCCGUAGGCGGACCGAUAAGUCAGUGGUGAAAUCUCAUAGCUUAACUAUGAAACUGCCAUUGAUACUGUCGGUCUUGAGUAAAUUAGAGGUAGCUGGAAUAAGUAGUGUAGCGGUGAAAUGCAUAGAUAUUACUUAGAACACCAAUUGCGAAGGCAGGUUACCAUGAUUUAACUGACGCUGAGGGACGAAAGCGUGGGUAGCGAACAGGAUU